AAAAAAAUAAAAAACAAAAAAAACAAAAAACAACAUCUCUUCACUUCUUUUGCCACAUACACCUUUGAACCUUUCCACGAAAACCUGAACUACGAAAGACCUGAUCUCCCCUCAUCAAUGGGAGUACGUAGGCAGCCAUUUAUGGUGCGGUCAAACCAAACAAAAACCCAAAAAACCCAAAUAAACACUUCUCAGACCGUUCAGCUCAUCAAGAAUGAACUACGUAGACCUG
rnacentral:lncRNA from 1 species